rnacentral:rRNA from 1 species
AACGAACGCUGGCGGCAUGCCUAACACAUGCAAGUCGAACGAGACCUUCGGGUCUAGUGGCGCACGGGUGCGUAACGCGUGGGAACCUGCCCUUAGGUUCGGAAUAACUCCCCGAAAGGGGUGCUAAUACCGGAUAAUGUCUUCGGACCAAAGAUUUAUCGCCUUUGGAUGGGCCCGCGUUGGAUUAGCUAGUUGGAAGGGUAAAAGCCUACCAAGGCGACGAUCCAUAGCUGGUCUGAGAGGAUGAUCAGCCACACUGGGACUGAGACACGGCCCAGACUCCUACGGGAGGCAGCAGUGGGGAAUAUUGGACAAUGGGCGAAAGCCUGAUCCAGCAAUGCCGCGUGAGUGAUGAAGGCCUUAGGGUUGUAAAGCUCUUUUACCCGGGAUGAUAAUGACAGUACCGGGAGAAUAAGCGCCGGCUAACUCCGUG